AGCCCCGAGGUGUUUUACAUAUGGGAUUGCAAAUCCAGAGUAGCAGGUUAAGGUCUACUGGGGCUU
rnacentral:tRNA from 1 species